UACGGAGGGUGCAAGCGUUAUCCGGAUUCACUGGGUUUAAAGGGAGCGUAGGCGGCCUUGUAAGUCAGUGGUGAAAUCUCUGGGCUUAACCCAGAAAUUGCCAUUGAUACUGCAGGGCUUGAGUACAGUUGCCGUUGGCGGAAUAUGACAUGUAGUGGUGAAAUACAUAGAGAUGUCAUAGAACACCGAUUGCGAAGGCAGCUAACGAAACUGUAACUGACGCUGAGGCUCGAAAGUGUGGGGAUCAAACAGG
rnacentral:rRNA from 1 species